rnacentral:tRNA from 1 species
UAGCUCAGUGGGUUGAGCGCGGUGCUGACAACAAUGACAACACCGAGGUCGCGGGUUCGAUUCCCGC